CCUACGGGAGGCAGCAGUGGGGAAUAUUGCACAAUGGGGGAAACCCUGAUGCAGCGACGCCGCGUGAGUGAAGAAGUAAUUCGUUAUGUAAAGCUCUAUCAGCAGGGAAGUAAAUGACGGUACCUGUGUAAGCAGCCCCGGCUAACUACGUGCCGGCAGCCGCGGUAAUACGUAGGGGGCAAGCGUGAUCCGGAUUUACUGGGUGUAAAGGGAGCGUAGACGGGAGUGCAAGUCUGGAGUGAAAGUCGGGGGCUCAACCCCCGGAUUGCACUGGAAACUGUACGGCUGGAGUGCAGGAGAGGUAAGUGGAAUUCGUAGUGUAGCGGUGAAAUGCGUAGAUAUUAGGAGGAACACCAGUGGCGAAGGCGGCUUACUGGACUGUAACUGACGUUGAGGCUCGAAAGCGUGGGGAGCAAACAGGAUUAGAUACCCGAGUAGUC
rnacentral:rRNA from 1 species